rnacentral:lncRNA from 1 species
GGCUUAAUGAGAACUCUUGGAGAAGUAGGCCCUGGGGGCCAGAGCCUGCUCAAUCAGAGGCUGGAAUGGAGCCCUGAGCCACCAGCUGCUGCCUACAGAAAAGGAGUUCAACCUGACCCUCCCCCUUCAGCUUUUGUAGGUGCCCUCCUCCUCCUCUGUUUUUAUCUCUUCUAUUUUUCUAUUUCAGUUACCUGCGCUAUCUCUCUCUCUCUCUCUCUCUCUCUCUCUCUCUCUCUCUCUCUCUCUCUCUCUCUCUCUCUCUCUCUCUCUCUCAUACACACAUUCAUUCUCUGUCUCUCUGCUUCCCUCCUUUCUCUCCUCUUCUCUCUUGUGCCUUCUCUUUUUUUCUCUCCUCCUCCUCCUCCUCCUCCUCCUCCUUCUCCUUCUCCUUCUUCUCCUUCUCCUUCUCCUUCUCCUUCUUCUUCUUCUCCUUCUUCUUCUUCUUCUUCUUCUUCUCCUUCUUCUUCUUCUUCUUCUUCUUCUUCUUCUUCUUCUUCUUCUUCUUCUUCUUCUUCUUCUUCUUCUUCUUCUUCUUCUUCUUCUUCUUCUUCUUCUUCUUCUUCUUCUUCUUCUUCUUCUUCUUCUUCUUCUUCUUCUUCUUCUUCUUCUUCUUCUUCUUCUUCUUCUUCUCCACCUUCUCUUCCUUCUCCUCCUUCUCUACCUCCACCCUUCUUCUCUCUGUCCCUAUCUGUCUGUCCUCCUCUCUGUCUUUCUCCCUUUCUAUUUCUCCUAUCUCCCUCCCCCUCUCUACUUCUCUGUCUCUUCUCCUUUCUGUUUCUGUCUCUCUCCCUUACUCUUUUUUUUUUGCUUUCUAUCUCCCUUUCUCCUUCCUGUCCUGCUUGUUUUAUCCUCUUCUUUCAAACCAGAGGAUAUGAAUUUAUUGCACCCGAGGUGAAAGUUCUAAGGUUGUUUUUACCUAAUAGAGUUUCUGUUAUUGUUAGUGAUUGACAACAGUCUUUCUGAUGGUUGCUAAUAUUUUUCAAUUCCUUUUUAGAACUGUUUGUACAUAUUCUUUUGACAAUAGCU